AUACAGCAUUAAAAGAGGGUUAAUAACACAUGGGUACCGAGUCAACCAUUCUCUGGGAAAUGUUUUCAUGCUAAUGGAAUGUGACCAGUUUUAGAGCCAACCGCUAAUUAGCUUAUAACGGUAGUCAUCAGGGCACACAAAAGUAAAAAGAAAUCGCUAUUUUUAUACCACUAACAAGGCUCAAUAUAGCACCACACUUCCACGGUAGCAUAAUGAGGGUCCAUACAUGAAACUGAAGCAUUGAGAACUUUGUAAGUGUAUAGACAGUUCAUCAAAAAGAUUGUUUAUAAUUACAUUAUUACAUUAAAUUGCAUUUCAUUUAGCUGACACUUUUAUCCAAAGCAACUUCCAAUAAAGUGCUUUUAACCCUGAAGGUGCAAACUCCCAACAACAAGUUAAUCAGCUUUAAAUAAGCAAAACUAAAAAGAACCAUAUGAAAGUGCAGCUUCAAUAAAUGUA